CCCUUAGAUGUUCUGGGCCGCACGCGUGCUACACUGAGUGGAUCAGCGGGUCAGGCUGCGCGAAAGUGUUUCCUAAUCUUGAAAUCCGCUCGUGAUGGGGAUUGACGGUUGCAAUUUUCCGUCAUGAACGAGGAAUACCUUGUAAGCGCGGGUCAUCAUCCCGCGCUGAAUACGUCCCUGCCCUUUGUACACACCGCCCGUCGCUCCUACCGAUUGAGUGGUCCGGUGAGGCUUUGGGAUCUGAGCAAAAAGAGCGUUUCGCUCGUUUGGCUCGGAAAACUCAGUCGAACCUUAUCAUUUAGAGGAAGGAGAAGUCGUAACA
rnacentral:rRNA from 1 species